rnacentral:lncRNA from 1 species
AUGCAUUCCUUUGCAUGUGAAUGCAUGCAGUUGCAUCCAGUUGUCUACCACCAUUUGUUAAAUCUGUCUCUCUUUAAUGCCCCUUUUUCUCUAGGCAGUUGCUCCCAACCCCAGGUCCUCUGCUGCCUUGGAACAGAUCACCACUGCAAGAGGGGAAGCUGCUAUUGUGAUGAAUUCUGCCAUGUGGUACUAGAUUGCUGCCCAGACCACAGUGCCCUCUGCAACCCUGACAGCUCACAUGCAGGCUCAUUUCCACUCGUGGCAGAGCUGGAGGCUGCAGUAGAGAGAGCUUCCCAGGCAACCAGGAUGGUGCUGCAGAUGGUGCUGAGGACGGACACCACCCCAAGCCCUACUAGAAGCAAUCUAGACUGGGUGCAGAGCAUGGUCCAGCAGCUGCUCCAGACCAGCCUCCCAGGAACACCGCUCUCUGUGGCUGUGAAGGAAAUCAAGAAGAGAGCCUGACUCUUGCUGAGUCACCUUCCGGACCCCCUGCCAACAGGGCUGAUGGAUCAGAAGUCACCUGCCCCACCUAGGCCUGCUAAGGCCGGUGUUGCUGGGCCCAGGGGCGCUUGUCUCUCAGCUCCCAUCCUAUACACUUCCACGUUGGUUUAACCGGAGGGGAACUGAAAUCUGCGAUUGCUGUAAACACAUAUCAGUGUGCACAGAAUCAACCAUAAAAAUCA